AGGGCAGCGGCUCUGUGCGGGCUCAUGGUCAGUCGUGUCCGUGCAUACCAUAGGUCCUCUGCUCCCUACGAUUAUUUCUACCAAGCUUGGAGAUGCCCAGAUCCAGAUGUGCAGUCAGUGAGAAAGAGAGAGGUAACUGUGGAGUCGAUCUCGCAGCGGCGGCUCCGCCUGUCGGGCUCCUCCCAGGGCUCGUUCAUCCUGCCGGCCACCGGCAACCUGCUCGCCGGUGAGUAUGUGCAGCGGCCCGAAGAGGCGCCUGCGCUUGCAGGGGAACGCGCCGGAUCUCGCAGGGCAGAUGAGGCCGGUGUGUGCAUCUCAAUUCUUAACUGCAAACUCUUGGUUAUAUCGGCGGCAGAUAUCCGGUGCUAAUUUGGUCUAUUCGCUACUCCUAGGGUCUGCUCUAGGUACUUGGGCAUGGGAUGAGAAUCACAAUUGUUGUGGAUUUACAAGAUGAUAGUGCAGAUGGAGAAUAUCUUGUUAUUUGGCUGUUACUAUCCAUAAUUUUAUCUCUCGGCAACGAAUAUAUUAGAUCAAGCAUCAUAUCAUGUACACGAUAAGAUUUUGAUCUUCUCGUCAUUGAUGCCUACCGGUUGGAUCAUGCUUUUGUUUAUGAGCUGAUUGAAGUAACUCUCUCCUAGCUCAAAUGGGCCAACUUCUUGUUUACAUGAUACACUCAGCUAUCCAUCUCCAUAUCAGUUGGUCUCUCUUAAUUUUGUAAUCUUUUGGAAAUAUGCUUGCAUAUAAUAAAUGAUGCAAAGGUAUAUCAUACAACAACACAAUCUUUUGUCUUCGGCAAGUUAGGGUAGACUAGAGAUAGAACACAAUAUGUGUCACAUACAUCGCAGCAACAGGAAUUAACAAAGAAAUGGUAAAUUAAGCUCUUGACUUGUAGAUUAUGUUAAGUGAUGAUCUAGAGUCAACCUUCUUUUACUACAUUAGUUCUGAUCUACCUUGUCAUCUAUAGGAUUAGUUAUUAUAUCUAAGUAUGUUUUCAGAAUAUUAGAGGAUUAAGCAAGGUCACUUGAUAUGUAAAUGGAUAGUUGGAUGAUUUGUUUAUCAUGAAAAACAAGAGAUUAGCCCACUUGAGCUCGGUGAUAGUGUUACUCAAUGAGAUCAUAAAUAGAAGCAUGAUUGACUGAUAGACAUCAAUGUUGUUGAAGGCAUGGAAAAAUCUUAUCGUAUACAUGAUAUGAUGAUUGUUCCCAUAUGUUUUUGCCAAGUGAAGAAAACCACUUGCAUGGCAUGCUGAAGAUCAUCCAUCCGAAAGAGCGCGGCAGACAUGACCACCACCACCAACAACAACAACAACAACAAGGUCCAAGUAGGCUCUCUUGCAAUAUCCAUGUGCUAUUGUCGUUCCAGUGUCGCUUAUGUUGAACGCUCGUCUUCUACAUGUGUUAGAUUUAGAAAUAUUGCCUGAAUGCUUCCAUUCUUGCCAACUUAGGCAGUGACACUCAAGAAGACAGGAACACUUUGCCAUGGUGUUUGAUUCUUCUUCUGUGGCAACAUGAAGCUCUCAUUGUAAUUGUACCCACUUAUGCCGGAAUACUGUUAUCACUUCCGUCAGAUUCAAGUACCAGUGUACCACCAAGUUUCUGUGGCGUCCCCUGAAUUUUGCUAAUGACGAACUUUCUUCCCCAUUUCUUUCUUUUGUAAGGAAAAGUUAUAUACUUGUGAUGUAUGACUAGCUGGUCAAUUUGCCUGCUUUGAUUAUCCAUUCUGUUUCUUUGUUCCUAACUGCUUUCAGAGUCGUUUUACUCCAGAAAAGUGGAAUGGAAUUAAUGUCCUUCAGUUUAUACUA